rnacentral:rRNA from 1 species
UCUCUCUGAAUCUGCGAACGGCUCCGCAAACCAGUUGUAAACUAGAGCAAGCAAGUCCGGCUGGCUUCGGCCUCCGGACGAUAUGGAUAACCCUGGUAAUUCUGAGGCUAAUACAUGACCGCAAAACCGUGCAGCCCAGCAAUGGAUGCCCGGGGAUGUGCGAUAUGGCUUGACGAUAACCGGGAAAGGACGCACACUCAGACCGCGCUAAAAAGGAUCGGGACUCUCUUCGGAGAACCUGGCCCCAGCGGCUCUUGCUGUGUGCUUCUGACCUAUCAACUAGACGGCAGCGUAAUGGACAUGCUAUGGUGACAACGGGUACAGAGGAUUAGGGUUCGAUCCUGGAGAGUGGGCCUGAGAGAUU